rnacentral:rRNA from 1 species
CGGUAAUUCCAGCUCCAAUAGCGUAUAUUAAAGUUGUUGCGGUUAAAAAGCUCGUAGUUGGAUUUCUGUUGAGGUUGGGUGGUCCCUUCUCCGAAGGCGUAUUUGCUUCGAUCUCGGCAUCCUUCUGAAAGACUGUGCUGCCCUUCAUUGAGUGGUCAGGAUUUCAGGACUUUUACUUUGAGGAAAUUAGAGUGUUUACGGCAGGCAGGCGCCUUGAAUAUAUUAGCAUGGAAUAAUGAUAUAAGACCUUGGUUUUAUUUUGUUGGUUUCUAGAGCUAAGGUAAUGAUUAACAGGGAUAUUUGGGGGUAUUUGUAUUACACGGUCAGAGGUGGAAUUCUUGGAUUCGUGUACGACAAACUACUGCGAAAGCAUUUACCAAGGAUGUUUUCAUUGAUCAAGAACGAAAGUGUGGGGAUCGAAGAUGAUUAGAUACCGUCGUAGUCUACACCAUAAACUAUGCCGACUAGAGAUUGGAGGUUGUCUUCUUAUAACUCCUUCAGCACCUUUCGAGAAAUCAAAGUUUUUGGGUUCUGGGGGGAGUAUGGUCGCAAGGCUGGAACUUAAAGGAAUUGACGGAAGGGCACCACCAGGAGUGGAGCCUGCGGCUUAAUUUGACUCAACACGGGAAAACUUACCAGGUCCAGACAUAACGAGGAUUGACAGAUUGAUAGCUCUUUCUUGAUUUUAUGGGUGGUGGUGCAUGGCCGUUCUUAGUUGGUGGAGUGAUUUGUCUGGUUAAUUCCGUUAACGAACGAGACCUUUAUCUGCUAAAUAGCCAAAUGUAUCUUCGGAUACAUUGCCGGCUUCUUAGAGAGACUUUGUGUGUUUAAUGCAAGGAAGUUAGAGGCAAUAACAGGUCUGUGAUGCCCUUAGAUGUUCUGGGCUGCACGCGCGCUACACUGAUGCGUUCAACGAGUUUCCCUUAGCCGGUAGGCUCGGGUAAUCUUUUGAACACGCAUCGUGAUGGGGAUAGAUUAUUGUAAUUAUUAAUCUUCAACGAGGAAUUCCUAGUAGGUGCAAGUCAUCAGCUUGCAUCGAUUACGUCCCUGCCCCUUGUACACACCGCCC